AGGUGUGCACUACUGUUGUUAAUGUUAUAUUUAGUGUGUGCUGGCCAUAUUAGAUGAUUGUAUGUUCAUAUCAAAAAUCUGUAAAGGCUUUUUGUGGAUGCUUUACUUAAGUGUGUGUCUGUGUGGGUGUAUGUAUGUACAUAUAUGUAUGUAUACAUGCACAUACACAUUCAAGUGUAUAUAUGUGUUUCCUUUUCAGCUGCACCUGUGGCAUAUGGAAAGUUCCCAGGCCAAGAACUGAAUCCAAGCCACAUCUGCAACCUAUGCCACAGCUGUGGCAAUGCUGGAUCCUUAACCCACUGUGCCAGGGACCAAACCAGCAAUGCCAUAGAUUAUUAACCCACUGCACCACAGCAGGAACUCCAAGGAUGUAUUUUACCAUGCUAAUUGUUUUAUAUAUAUAUAAGAUCCUAAAUUUCUUUUUUUAAAAUUUUUUAUUGUUAUUUCCCCAAUACAAUUUUUUUUCUACUGUACAGCAUGGUGACCCAGUUACACAUACAUGUAUAGAUUCUUUUUUCUCACAUUAUCAUGCUCCAUCGUAAGUGACUAGACAUAGUUCCCAGUACUACACAGCAGGAUAUCAUGGCUAAGAUCGUAAAUUUCUUGAUCAUAAAUUACUCGACAUGAGGUUUUGAGGAACGUAACUCCCACAAUAGGAAAUAAAUACCUUUCAUCUGUAACCAAACCAGUGCAGUCGGGAUUUUGAUUUAAUCAAAUAGUAUAUAUCACAAUCUUAAACAUUGCUUUAGAAUCUCCAGGGCAGUGUGUCAUUCUGAGGCAGGUGGUCUUUGGCCGUUUUGAGAGGUGAGUACAAGAAAAAUAUCUCCAAAAAGAGAGAAAGAACAACAAAAAAUAUCUCCAGUGGAAUAAUGACAUAGGUGAAAAGAAAAAGGUGAAUCUUCUUAGCAUCCCAUGAUGCAUAUCUACUUACUGACAUUUUAUAAGCAAGGAAACUGCCUCUGAGAUAAUGAGAUAAUAGAGAAUCUUAGGUAAGAAUGUCAAUUGAUGGAGAAGCCUUGAGUCAAAUAGGUCUUCCCAACUCAAAGAUUCUGUACUUUCUGCUAGGUAUCCAUGAAAUAGGGGUUAAUUAGGACAUUGAGACAAUGACUCAGACUAUUCUCACUAUUGAAAAAGAAUUCAGAUGUAGAAAUAAAGGCAUAUUGCUGGUCCAGCCACAGUUUGCCUUUUGUACUUUGCCCUGGGGUGUGUAUAUCACUGAGUUCUAACUAAUCGAUGUCUGCCAGCUCUCUGAGACAUCUCUCUGAAUUAGCAGAAUGUGCCUCCUUGCUCUGUGGAGGCCAGAGCCUUUGAUAUUGGUCUCCCGGCUUGGGAGGGAUGGCUGUGAGGAGGAGUGGGGAGAAGCAGAUGUUUUUGGUGUGGAACUGAGACAGGUGCCUCUAGAGUGUGGCCACGUGACACCACCUGCCCUUGCAAGUCUCUAGCCCAGCUGCUCCAGAAGAGGAAGGACAAGCCAUUUAGAAUGUUUGUGGGGUCUGGUCUCGUCUGCCUAGGCUGUUGCAGUGUUUUUCCAUCAGCCUGAGACCCACCAGACUCAUCUCAUUUGUCAGAUUCUUAGAAACACAAUUGUGUGAGGUGUGCUGAAGCCAUUCAGGGAUGAUGCAAACUAGAGAACUUGCUUUGUCUAUUAUCAUUAGAGAUUUCUCCAAAUCUUGAACUAAAGCUACCACAUUUUAAUCAUUCAACAAAUAUGAUGUACCUACUUUAACAUAGAAGCUGUGCUUGUUUGGGGAAUGCAAUUGAGAAUAAAAGAGGUGGUAGUCACUGUCCAUGUAGAGAAUUAAUCUAUUGGAGGGAAGGGACGAUAAGCCUAGCAAAACCCAAAUAAAUAAUUGCUAUUAAGGAAUGUGCAAGUAUCUAUCACAACCUGCUAUGUAGGGGUUCCCAUUUAGUAGCCCCCUUACCUGCAUGGAUAUGUUCCAAGACCCCCAGGGAAUGUCCAAAACCAUGGAUAGUGCCAAACUUUAUACAGGCAUACCUCAAAAAUUGUGCAGUUCCAGACCACCAUGGUAAAGUGAGUCACACAAAGUUUUCACUUUCCCAGGGAAUGUAAAACUAAGUUUAAGCUCUACUGUGGUCUAUUGUGUGUGCCAACAGCAUUAUGUCUAAAAUAAGAAUGGAUAUAGCUUAAUUGGUAAAAAAAUGCUAGCCAUAAUCUGACCAUGCAAGGUUGCCACAAACCUUCAAUUUGUAGAAAAUUCAAGAUCUGUGAGGUGCAGCAGAAUGAGAAACAUUCAACAAGGCAUUCCUAUGUAUAUACUAUGUUUCUGUGGCAUAUGGAGGUUCCCAGGCUAGGGUCUAGGCAGAACUAUAGUCGCCGGCCUAUGCCACAGCCACAGCAACGCCAGAUCUGAGUGGUGUCUGUGACCUAUACACAGCUCAGGGCAAUGCUGAUCCUUAACCCACUGAGCAAAGCCAGGGAUCAAAGCUGCAACCUCAUGGUUCCUAGUCAGAUUCGUUUCCACUGCACUAUGACGGGAACUCCUGGUUUGUUUCUUCAUUGUAUUUUGGUUUAGAGGAAGAGAUUGGUCAUUGGCCAGAGAAUGUGUUAAGUAAAAUGGGUGGGAUAUAUCACGACAAAGAGGAAAAAUAAUGUGCGGCAGGAGAAACCUCUCAGUAAAGGUCGAAAAAACCCCAAAGGGAACUGGGUUCCUGUUGUAACUCCGGGUUGCUCCUUAUGGCUGGAGGGUGGGUGAGUUUUGGGAAAAAGCACAUGAGGCUAUUUUAUAUUAGCUUUGGUAGAUUUCUCUAAGAUUUGUGGAUGGAGAUUAAUGUCACUUAAAGCUAAUGCCUUACGUAAUAAUUUACGAAGAUAGUAUCGUUCUCCAUCUUUCUGUAUGUCUCUUUUCAUUUCUCAAUCUCAGUAUUUCUAUUAGCCUCUCUCUUAUGCACACACUGAUGGCACAAUUGCAUGAAUAAUAAAUAUUUUGAAUUGUAAAGGCGUCCAAAAUUUUAUGUUUAAAACAGUGGUUUUAAGGCAGUUGUGAGAAACUGAGUGAUGUUUCACGGUACUACAGGGAUUGAGGAAUCAUAAAGUAGUCGAAAGGACAUGAACCAUGGAGUAAAACUGUCUUGAAUUUAAAUCCUGAUUCUGCCAUCUACCAAAUGUCUGAGCUUAGGCAAGUCACUUACCACUUGUAUCUUAUGUUUUGUCAUCUGUAAAAUGAGGAUAAUAAAACUGCUACCAGGCAAAGCUUCUACAUGAAUUACAUGAAAUCACAUGUGUCAGGAGUCCUAAAUCCAUUUCUGUAGACCCUGGGAUUUGAUGCAAAAUAUUAUAUUUAUAUGCGUUUGGGGGACAUAAGUAUGCAUAAACCUUAUCAGAUUUGUCAGAUUGUUUGAGUCAUUAAUCUCAAAGUACCCAGGGCUCAAAACAAGGUAACUUUCCUAUUCCCUUCUUUUGAAACUAUUAUAUAUAAUUUUUUCAAACAGUAAAUGCAUAUAUUUUUAUUGGAGUUACAGUCAGGAUAAAUUACUGAUUGAUCUCUCCAAUCAACACAAUAACAAGACAGUUGUUGAAUAAGAUGGAAUGAGCCAAGUGUUCAGAAUGCUAGGAGAAGGAUUUAUGCAUCAGGCUUAGAAGUGGUACAGCAUGAUGGUUAAUAUCUUGUUCUCCAGAGUCACACAAUCUAAGUUUAUCACUCAAUGUAUGCCCCUGAAGGCAGCUAGCAUUUGCAUAAAUAUUAUAGCUAGUAAUCAAUAAAUCUUAUUGUAUUAAGCCACUGACAUUUUAAAGGUUGAUUUCUUGCUUAAAUAUAGUGUAAUGGGUGCUCAGGGAGCUGGGAAGAUGCACAUUCUUUCACCAAUUUAAAACCCAGGCUCUUACUCCUUUGUGGCUCCACCAUUUUUAAAUGGCCGUGGUGUGGUCUCAGUUCAGCCAUGGGUGAGGAGACGGUCCACGGAGAAGAUCCCCUCCGUCUUAAACAUGUUCGCCUGGAAAUACACUAUCUCUGCUCAUAUUCUCUUGGCUAGAACUUAAUUGCCCCCUCAUGCUUAAUUGCAAGGAACGCUGGAAAAUGUUGGCUAGUGCCCCAUAAAUGAAGGAAAAGGAUCUUGGUGAGCUCACAGUUCACUCAGUCACAGUGCUUUUGUAGAACUGGUCAAGUCCUUUCUUUUCUCCUCUCUAGGCCUCACUUUUCCUAUCCUUAUGAUAAACAGGUUAAUCCUUUCUUCAUGGGGUGGUGCGCAUCAGAUAUACUAGUCGAUGUAAAGCUUUCACACUGUUCCUCAUGUGAUGUUAAGUGUUCAUAAAUGUUUGCUGUCACUAUUUGUAUUAUCAUUUGUGCGGGAGGCUUUGCUGAGAGAGGUUAAUGCUACCUGGGUGGCUACUGGGUUCUUACUAACAAAGACUCAAUGGAAUUCAGUGCCUCAAAAGGCUUUUG
rnacentral:lncRNA from 1 species